AUUGAACGCUGGCGGAAUGCUUUACACAUGCAAGUCGAACGGCAGCACGGGGGCAACCCUGGUGGCGAGUGGCGAACGGGUGAGUAAUACAUCGGAACGUGCCCAGUCGUGGGGGAUAACGUAGCGAAAGUUACGCUAAUACCGCAUACGAUCUACGGAUGAAAGCGGGGGACCGUAAGGCCUCGCGCGAUUGGAGCGGCCGAUGUCAGAUUAGGUAGUUGGUGAGGUAAAGGCUCACCAAGCCGACGAUCUGUAGCUGGUCUGAGAGGACGACCAGCCACACUGGGACUGAGACAGGGCCCAGACUCCUAAGGGAGGCAGCAGGGGGGAAUUUUGGACAAUGGGCGCAAGCCUGAUCCAGCCAUUCCGCGUGCAGGACGAAGGCAUUCGGGUUGUAAACUGCUUUUGUACGGAACGAAAAGGCUCUGGUUAAUACCUGGGGCUCAUGACGGUACCGUAAGAAUAAGCACCGGCUAACUACGUGCCAGCAGCCGCCGUAA
rnacentral:rRNA from 1 species